GGGAAUUUUGCGCAAUGGGGGAAACCCUGACGCAGCAACGCCGCGUGGAGGAUGAAAUCCCUUGGGAUGUAAACUCCUUUCGAUAGGGAAGAUAAUGACGGUACCUAUAGAAGAAGCCCCGGCUAACUUCGUGCCAGCAGCCGCGGUAAUACGAGGGGGGCAAGCGUUGUUCGGAAUUAUUGGGCGUAAAGGGCGCGUAGGCGGUUUGACAAGUCUCAUGUGAAAUCUUCGGGCUCAACUCGAAGUCUGCAUGGGAAACUGUCGGGCUUGAGUAUGGGAGAGAUGAGUGGAAUUUCCGGUGUAGCGGUGAAAUGCGUAGAUAUCGGAAGGAACACCUGUGGCGAAAGCGGCUCACUGGACCAUAACUGACGCUGAGGCGCGAAAGCUAGGGGAGCAAAC
rnacentral:rRNA from 1 species